ensembl:lncRNA
UUUCCUUUUCACAAAGUACUAUGUGUGUACGCUUGUGCGCUUCAAGUGCUUGCACAAUGCUUGCAUUUCACUGAGAGCCGAGGGGAAAACACUUGAUUUUAAAUUGUUUCUUUUUUUUUUUAACAGUUGAAACAUUGCUUGUGGCUAACACACAUACGUAGGCUUGACUUAAAGGAAUAACAGUUCUCGGCAUUGACGGAAAACACCUGACCUAACCUCUGCAUUGGGAAUCAAUGUGUUGCAUUCCAAAGACUCGAGUGGAAGACUGUUGUGUGAAAUUAGACAAGAUGUCACACUGCUGUUCCUUUGACACAAGUCUGUCAAAGACAACAACACGGGGCAACUACAUUAUUAUACUGCUGCUGGGCAUGACGUCCUAUUAUCACGUAUUAACUAUUUGACCCCUUGUUGCACUAUAUCUAAAAGUGAAUGCUUUACAUUACAAGAGGAUAGACAGGGUGCAGAAACGAUGUAUUCGAUCUGAAGCGAAUACUACAAACGUGGAACUGUUGCCGUUCACGGUUAUAUGACAGCGGGCGUUACUGACACUUUCUUCUCGCUCUGAGCUACUAUGUCCCCUGUCUGAGAAUGACGACAAAUCAGUGUGACUCAUCAAUAAGAGGAAAACAAGAGGAACUCGAAGCAGAGGUUGUAAAUGAUGGUUAGAGUUGCCAUUAUGUGCUGUAAAUGUCCAUCAUUUCUUUGUUUUCUUUCAUUUUUUUCUCUCUCCUUUGGUUAUGAAUAUGAUUAUUAAGAUGUAAGAAUACUGUAGUAUCAUAAGUGAAUCAUUCUUCCUUGCUAGGCAUAGAACUUGCUUGUGAUUGAUAAUGGCAAUGUAAAACUUGUAAAAAAGCAAAACGAUUAAAAAACACGAAAAACAGACGAAAAGAAGAUUUAAAAAAAACAAAAUCUGUUACCAGUCGGAGGCCAAGGUAAAGAACUCUCAUUUCUUUGUGUUUUUUAUUUUUUUAUUAGCAAUUUAUCACUGUGUGAUAUUUUGUACAUCAUAUUAAGCUGUAUUCAAACAAUUUCCUCCAACUACAAGGGAUAAGAGACCUGCUUUUUAUUAAUUUUGUUUUAUUAUAUAUUUUUGAACUGCAUUUUAGCUUGUAUCAAAUGACUUUUCUCUUUUUGUUUACGGGUCCCCUGUUGUAUGUCAUUAAGGAAGAAAAGACAAAAAAAUGAAAAUUUUGUACAGUGAA